rnacentral:ncRNA from 2 species
AGUCGGUGAAAGUCCGACCGGGGGAAAAGACUACACUCCCGUAGCCUGAGAGGCAUCGCGGAACGAAAGUGAACCGAUGGAGCCCUCUGACAAACAUUCAUUAGGAAUGCGGCAAAAUUCCAGGUUGUAACGUG